CUGCCUUCACGAACCCGCCGCCGCCCGUCCCCUACUCUUCCUCGUGCACCCACCGUCGCUCGUCCCCUCGUCUUCCUUGCGCACUCGCCGUCGCCUCCUCCUCACCCUCACGCACUUGAGGCCAGCUGCAGAACGAGGUCGGACGGCGGAGACGAGGUCGAGGUCUACGACCUCCUCAACUUGCGCAAGACUGCCGAGACUGCAGGGACAAGCUCUUUGCUGCCUCGUCAGCUGCUAGCUGACUUCUCGUGA
rnacentral:misc_RNA from 1 species